AUGAACAGCAGGCUAAGAGUUUUUGUUCUGUUUUCUCUCCUUUCUAGAUGGACAAGCAGCAGUGGUUCUGAAGCAGAGUCAGGUAUCUGUCACCAAAGAGAAAGAUAAAACUGCACGGAUUGAGUGUCUGGCCGAGGGCAUCUCCAACUUCCGCCUUGCCUACAUCCAUUGGUACCGACACCGGCCCAACAGGGCUCCUGAACGGAUCCUCUUCAUUGGGUCAGAUCCAGACUCUUAUGAUGAAGAGUCCUACAGGAACAAGUAUUCCGCUGAGAAGCGUGAUAGAAACAUCUGCAUUUUAACAAUCAAAGACAUCAGCUCUGACGAUGAAGGUACCUACUACUGUGCCUUCUGGCCGACCCACAGAAGCAGAAGACCACAGGCAGCCUGUGCAGAAAGCUGCCUGCACCCCGAGCAGCAGGCUGGCUGUCAAAUGCACCUCCCUGCCUCGAAACCAUCCCAACAGGUUGAUGCUGAGUGGUCUGAGACAGCAAAAAUUAUGGCAGAGAAGGGAGCACAGGAGGAGGCUGUUUGCCCCGAAAAUCUAGCCUGGGAGACUUCAGAUGGAGGUCAUGAUGGAGAUACUGGUGAUUCUCACUGGCCACUCCCAUCUUAA